CAGACUAUCCAAUAAGUUCUUGUACUGCAUUGCAGACAACUUUUUAUUUCAGAAGGUUGAAAAAACUACUGGGGGGAAGCUGUUCUAGAUUUGAUUUGAACAAAUAGGGAGGAACUCGUUGAAAAUUUGAAAGUAGAAGGCAGCUUGGGUGAAAGUGAUCAUGAAAUCAUAGAGUUCACAAUUCUAAGGAAGGGUAGAAGGGACUACAGCAAAAUAGAGACAAUGGAUUUCAGGAAGGCGGAUUUUGGUAAGCUCAGAGAGCUGAUAGGUAAGGUCCCAUGGGAAUCAAGACUGAGGGGAAAAAUGACUGAGGAGAGUUGGCAGUUUUUCAAAGGGACAGUAUUAAGGGCCCAAAAGCAAGCUAUUCCGCUGGUUAGGAAAGAUAGAAAAUGUGGCAAAAGAUCACCUUGGCUUAACCAUGAGAUCUUGCAUGAUCUAAAAAAAUAUAAAAAAUGGAAGCUAGGACAAAUUACAAAGGAUGAAUAUAAGCAAACAACACAGGAAUGUAGGGGCAAGAUUAGAAAGGCAAAGGCACAAAAUGAGCUCAAACUAGCUAUGGGAAUAAAGGGAAACAAGAAGACUUUUUAUCAAUACAUUAGAAGCAAGAGGAAGACCAAAGACAGGGUAGGCCCACUGCUCAGUGAAGAGGGAGAAACAGUAACAGGAAACUUGGAAAUGGCAGAGAUGUUUAAUGACUUCUUUGUUUCGGUCUUCACCAAGAAGUCUGAACGAAUGCCUAACAUAGUGAAUGCUAAUGGGAAGGGGGUAGGUUUAGAAGAUAAAAUAAAAAAAGAACAAGUUAAAAAUCUCUCAGAAAAGUUAGAUGCCUGCAAGUCACCAGGGCCUGAUGAAAUGCAUCCUAGAAUACUCAAAGAGCUAACAGAGGAGGUAUCUGAGCCUCUAGCUAUUAUCUUUGGAAAAUCAUGGGAGACGGGAGACAGGGCCGACUCCAGGGUUUUUGGCCACCCAAAGCAGCCAAAAAAAAAAAAAAAAAAAGCCGCGAUCGCGAUCUGCGGCAGCAAUUCGGCGGAAGGUCCUUCGCUCGGAGCGGGAGUGAGAGACCGUCCACCGAAUUGCCGCUGAAUAGCUGGACCUGCCGCCCCUCUCUGGAGUGGCCGCCCCAAGCACCUGCUUGCCAAGCUGGUGCCUGGAGCUGGCCCUGACAGGAGAGAUUCCAGAAGACUGGAAAAGGGCAAACAUGG
rnacentral:lncRNA from 1 species